GAUGAACGCUGGCGGCGUGCCUAAUACAUGCAAGUCGAGCGAAUGGAUUAAGAGCUUGCUCUUAUGAAGUUAGCGGCGGACGGGUGAGUAACACGUGGGUAACCUGCCCAUAAGACUGGGAUAACUCCGGGAAACCGGGGCUAAUACCGGAUAACAUUUUGAACCGCAUGGUUCGAAAUUGAAAGGCGGCUUCGGCUGUCACUUAUGGAUGGACCCGCGUCGCAUUAGCUAGUUGGUGAGGUAACGGCUCACCAAGGCAACGAUGCGUAGCCGACCUGAGAGGGUGCACGGCCACACUGGGACUGAGACACGGCCCAGACUCCUACGGGAGGGAGCAGUAGGGAAUCUUCCGCAAUGGACGAAAGUCUGACGGAGCAACGCCGCGUGAGUGAUGAAGGCUUUCGGGUCGUAAAACUCUGUUGUUAGGGAAGAACAAGUGCUAGUUGAAUAAGCUGGCACCUUGACGGUACCUAACCAGAAAGCCACGGCUAACUACGUGCCAGCCGCCGCCGUAA
rnacentral:rRNA from 1 species